UCACUAAAUCAAUCCUUUAUCAGGUGGUCCUUCAAGGAUUUCUUGGUUUUGGGUUUUGAAAUGUGUAAGGUUUGCUGCUAGCAACUCCACAUUUUUUUAUUCACUCACAAAGACACAUGGUCAUAAAUAAAAUGCAUGGAACCAGCGAGACAAUAGCACAGCAGUAAUGUCAUUUUAGAUGCAGCAUGGCCCUGUUGUGAACGGAAUGAUUGUGAACGGAAUGAUGGCCAAGGAGC
rnacentral:lncRNA from 1 species